rnacentral:tRNA from 1 species
GGGGAUUUAGCUCACCGGUAGAGCACUUGCCUAGCAAGCACGAGACCCUAGGUUCAGUCUCCA